UACGUAGGAUCCAAGCGUUGUCCGGAUUUACUGGGUGUAAAGGGUGCGCAGGCGGACUUAUAAGUCAGUGGUGAAAUCUCACAGCUUAACUGUGAAACUGCCUUUGAUACUGUAGGUCUUGAAUUAGGGAGAGAUUCGUGGAAUUCCGAGUGUAGCAGUGAAAUGUGUAGAUAUUCGGAAGAACACCAGAGGCGAAGGCAGCGAAUUGGCCCCAUAUUGACGCUCAGGCACGAAAAGCAUGGGGAUCAAACAGG
rnacentral:rRNA from 1 species